rnacentral:tRNA from 1 species
CAAAAUUUAACAUAUAAAAUGUAUCUCACUUACACUGAGAAAAUAAUUAAUUUAAUUAGUUUUGA